UUACGGCCACACCACGUUGGAACGUCGGCUCCCGUACGAUCACCAAAGUUAAGCAACGUCGAGUCUGGUCGGUACCUAGAUCGGUGACCGCUUGGGGAUGCCAGAUGCUGUAAG